CGGAGGAGAAACAUUCCUCCUCACUGCUCACUACGUCCCUCCACGGCCCUGUCGCAGCCGCGUUCCUGUGCGAUGUGCAUGUUCCAGCGUUCUGGGUGGUUCUGUUCAGCAUCAGUUUGGGGGAAACUGGGGAUUCGAGAGGCUGUGCCUCAACUGCUGACUUGAUAAUCUGGAAGCCUGGAGGCCUCAGACAUACCUGGUGUCCAGGACCAUGCUGCCUCAGCUGCACUGUGGAUACCUUACAUCCUAUCCACAGCGCCUAUGGAGCUGGAGACUACAUCUAGACGGUAGACUUCCACAUCUGAUCCAGGUUGGCAUCUCCCAGAGUGCUUUGUACAGAGUUGGCACACUUGCAGAAUGUCAGCAGAAUGAAAGUUACUGAAUGCUGAUGCAAGUUUUAACACAUACCCCAGGUAUUUGCAGCAUGAAAGAAGUCUAAUGUGGAGGAAGAUGUUUAGAUAAGUGCUUAAAGAAGAGCCAAACAGCAAGAAAGAGAGGAAUAGAAACAUGCACAGAGGAGUCUUGCCUGCUUGGUUGACUGAGAGGAAGCAGGGAACCGGCUCCUGCCUCCCCUCAUCAUAUCCAGCGUGUGUUGUGUGUGUAUAUGUGUAUACGUGUGC